rnacentral:rRNA from 1 species
GACGAACGCUGGCGGCGUGCUUAACACAUGCAAGUCGAACGGAAAGGCCCUGCUUUUGUGGGGUGCUCGAGUGGCGAACGGGUGAGUAACACGUGAGUAACCUGCCCUUGACUUUGGGAUAACUUCAGGAAACUGGGGCUAAUACCGGAUAGGAGCUCCUGCUGCCUGGUGGGGGUUGGAAAGUUUCGGCGGUUGGGCAUAGACUCGCGGCUUAUCAGCUUGUUGGUGGGGUAGUGGCUUACCAAGGCUUUGACGGGUAGACGGCCUGGGAGGGUGACCGGCAACAUGGGGACUAAGAUACGGCCCAGACUGCUACGGGAGACAGCAGUGGGGAAUAUUGCACAAUGGGCGGAGGCGUGAUGCAGCAACGCCGCGUGCGGGAUGACGGCCUUCGGGUUGUAAAGCGCUUUCGCCUGUGACGAAGCGGGAGUGACGGUAAUGGGUAAAGAAGCAACGGCUAAGUACGUG